CGACAUGUGAUGUGGAAACAAUAUCAUCUUGAAAGUUGAUGUGGAAGAAAUAUUUGAAAGAACGUUAUAGUAAAUGUUUCAGAGCAUCAUUUAUGUCCCCAAUUUUGAUUGCGGAUGAACUCUGCCUGCAUUGAUGUCGUCCUGUUUCUGUAGGACAUGUCUUCUACAGAUGGCUCUAAAGCCCCCAUCGGGAUCCCGAGAAAAUGAUAUCUGCAUAAAUCUUCUUCGCAAUUACUUUCCCCUCCUAAACAGAUAUGCAGCGGAAGGAAUUAAACCCCACUCAACCAACCCUACAACUGGACAUCCGGGUCUGAACACCUCGAGGACAACCGCCUAGACAGCAGACUUUUUAAAUAAAGUUUAUCCAUGUAUUAUAUUUGUUUAUAUUUUAUAACUUUGUCAUUAUUUAACGUUAGGCCCCCUUUGUGCUAACAAAAUUUUGUAUCUAUCAAUGUAUCUUAGAAAUAAGUUAUUUUAAGUCAAUAGGAAGUUCAAUAAAUCAAAAUUAAAAUUAAA